GACGAACGCUGGCGGCGUGCCUAAUACAUGCAAGUCGAACGAGAGCGACCGGUGCUUGCACUGGUCAAUCUAGUGGCGAACGGGUGAGUAACACGUGGGUAACCUGCCCAUCAGAGGGGGAUAACAUUCGGAAACGGAUGCUAAAACCGCAUAGGUCUUCGAACCGCAUGGUUUGAAGAGGAAAAGAGGCGCAAGCUUCUGCUGAUGGAUGGACCCGCGGUGCAUUAGCUAGUUGGUGAGGUAACGGCUCACCAAGGCCGGGAUGCAUAGCCGACCUGAGAGGGUGAUCGGCCACAUUGGGACUGAGACACGGCCCAAACUCCUACGGGAGGCAGCAGUAGGGAAUCUUCCGCAAUGGACGCAAGUCUGACGGAGCAACGCCGCGUGAGUGAAGAAGGUGUUCGGAUCGUAAAACUCUGUUGUUAGAGAAGAACAAGUGCUAGAGUAACUGUUAGCGACUUGACGGUAUCUAACCAGAAAGCCACGGCUAACUACGUG
rnacentral:rRNA from 1 species